GCGCAGGCGGUUGUGCAAGACAGAUGUGAAAUCCCCGGGCUCAACCUGGGAAUUGCAUUUGUGACUGCACGGCUAGAGUGUGUCAGAGGGGGGUAGAAUUCCACGUGUAGCAGUGAAAUGCGUAGAUAUGUGGAGGAAUACCGAUGGCGAAGGCAGCCCCCUGGGAUAACACUGACGCUCAUGCACGAAAGCGUGGGGAGCAAACAGGAUUAGAUACCCUGGUAGUCCACGCCCUAAACGAUGUCUACUAGUUGUCGGGUCUUAAUUGACUUGGUAACGCAGCUAACGCGUGAAGUAGACCGCCUGGGGAGUACGGUCGCAAGAUUAAAACUCAA
rnacentral:rRNA from 1 species